rnacentral:rRNA from 1 species
CCUACGGGAGGCAGCAGUGAGGAAUAUUGGUCAAUGGGCGAAAGCCUGAACCAGCCAAGUCGCGUGAAGGAUGAAGGAUCUAUGGUUUGUAAACUUCUUUUAUAUGGGAAUAAAGUGAGGAACGUGUCCCUUUUUGUAUGUACCUUAUGAAUAAGCAUCGGCUAACUCCGUGCCAGCAGCCGCGGUAAUACGGAGGAUGCGAGCGUUAUCCGGAUUUAUUGGGUUUAAAGGGUGCGUAGGCGGGUGAUUAAGUCAGCGGUGAAAGUUUGUGGCUCAACCAUAGAAUUGCCGUUGAAACUGGUUGGCUUGAGUAUGUUUGAGGUAGGCGGAAUGCGUGGUGUAGCGGUGAAAUGCUUAGAUAUCACGAAGAACCCCGAUUGCGAAGGCAGCUUACUAAGCUGUGACUGACAUUGAUGCUCGAAAGUGUGGGUAUCAAACAGGAUUAGAUACCCGAGUAGUC